AAGGAGAAGAAAAUUUCAUUUUUUCUUUUCUUCUUCUUCUUCUCUUCCCUUCACCGCCAAGAAUUUUGAAGACAUCCAACUUCCAUUUUUUUUUCCUUCUUCAAUUUGCAGAGAACUUCUAAGAGAGAGUUUGGAAGAAGAAGAGAAAUUUUACUAGAAUUUUGAGGUUGAAGAAGAGGAGGAGAACUCAAGCAAAGUGUAUCCAUGGCUGAAUUUUAGUUCAUUCUGCACAUCACUGGUUUUUAAUUCGGUUUGAACUCUUCAAAAGGAAUUAAGAGGCCAAGAAGAAUUAAACCGAGCUUAUAGACCAAAGAUCUAGCCCAAGACUAUUCCGGUUUUGACGUUGAGUGUACUCCGUAACAACGAUGCUGUCCUGAGUGCUGGGCGGGCCCCACUACGACAAAGACGAUGGGAGUGCUGGACGGGUCCCACUACAUCGUAGUGCUUGUAAACGUUGUUGUACUGGGUGUACCCUACACAACGUAGAUUUGUCAUGUUAGUUAAAAUGCUUCGAUAUACUUGAUAUGCCUUGCUAGAUUUCAAUGAUGAACAUGCUGAGUAUUUAAGUACAGAUCGAGUUCCCGGUGCCUGAUAGACUGCCUUAGUCUGCUGAAGCUUCAUUAUCGAUUGCCAGUACGUGUUUUGAGUUGGGCAUAGAGUCUGUUGUGUUGUGAUGUAUAUACACCCUUGUAUGUUAUAGAUACUCCAUAGUUUGUAUAAGCUUUAGGAGCUGUAGUUGUGUAAAUUUUGUAGGUUAUAUUUUGAUUAAGGUGUCUUUAGGUUUACUCGUGAAAUCGGUAAAUUUUGAGGUACACUUCAUGUAUGUGUUUGACUAGCUGUGUUUGACUAGCCUAGGAUCCGCUGUGUUUUGUUGCAUGUAUAAUAGUUUAUAUACUAGAUUGGAAGUUCAUCACAUGAAAGUUUUAAGCAGAGUCGACAGAUACAGGUACAGAAAAGCGUUGUUCGUCGGCUUCACGCCAUCUUUCGGUCUAAGGUAGCAGGUAGUCCGGGAGGGGGUGUGACACAGAUACGCGAGACCCACCAUAUCUAUUCAAUUUUGAACUCUUGCGCAGCUGAUAAAGCACUUUCCAAGCGUCUUUCUCGAAGAUUGUGAGAGUCUGUUAACUCUCAUCUUUCUGUUCACAAGAUGUCCUUUAUCACGAAAGAUAUGGACAUAACUCAAAAAAAUUCUUUCUUCUUUUGGGACUUCUUAAAGGAAGAUCUCAACAUGGCUACAUAUAAGCCCACUCCUAGGUACCUCACUCAUAAGUCAAUCUAUCUUCCCCUACUUAGACUAAGGCAAGAAUGUAAUUGCACUUUCUUGGAUUUACUUACUCUUCAAAAAGCAAGAAGUAGAAUGGGUUGUUAACUCCAACUGGUCAAAUCCCAAGAUCAAUAAAAGUGGAGAAGCUAGAUGUUCCCUAACACUCGAAAUGUGUGAGCUUCUCUUUUUUAUACUAUUAGCUUGUCUGAAAAUUACUCGCAUAGAAGGAAGAAAAGAGAACUGAAGAUUGACUAAUUGAACUCGCUUGCUAGCCCGCUACAUCUUCUUCCUGCUUGCACUUCCAACCAAAAAAGGUCAGAUGAUAGGUCAAAUUUAGAAUACCGAUUUGAGAUCCUAAAGUAAAGGUAAAAACUCCUCCUUCGGAGCGUAGCGGUAUUCAGAGA